UUGGAGGGCAAGUCUGGUGCCAGCAGCCGCGGUAAUUCCAGCUCCAAUAGCGUAUAUUAAAGUUGCUGCAGUUAAAAAGCUCGUAGUUGAAUUUCGGGACCAUCAUGUCGGUCGUGCCUCGGUACGUACUGGUAUUGUUGGUUUCUCCUUUCUGACGAACCAUGAUGUCAUUUAUUUGGUGUUGUGGGGAAUCAGGACUGUUACUUUGAAAAAAUUAGAGUGUUUAAAGCAGGCUCACGCUUGAAUACAUUAGCAUGGAAUAAUGAAAUAGGACGUUUGAUUCUAUUUUGUUGGUUUCUAGGAUCGACGUAAUGAUUAAUAGGGAUAGUUGGGGGCAUUAGUAUUCAAUUGUCAGAGGUGAAAUUCUUGGAUUUAUUGAAGACUAACUACUGCGAAAGCAUUUGCCAAGGAUGUUUUCAUUAAUCAAGAACGAAAGUUAGGGGAUCGAAGACGAUCAGAUACCGUCGUAGUCUUAACCAUAAACUAUGCCGACUAGGGAUCGGAUGAUGUUAAUUUUUUAAUGACUCAUUCGGCGCCUUACGGGAAAC
rnacentral:rRNA from 1 species